UAGUGAAGUUCUAUUGGUGAUUAACUGCUGGUUCUCACGGUGCUGAGAUGAGGACCUCAGUGCUUCCUGUGACACCAUGUGGAGGAGCUGAGAUGGAGAAGCAGAAGGACUUCUAAUUCUGGAAAGGCAUACACAAAGGCCCCCAGCACAAGAGAACUACGCAGAGCUGGAGGGAGUCCAUGGACUGUCCCACGGCACACUAGAAUCUAUCACCUCUGUCCCUUCUCCAUGCUCCCAACUGCAAAGGGAGGAAGAGGUGGUGUCUUUGAGGAUGAUUUGAAACUGACCUCUAGAGAAAGAGGAUCCGUGGAAGAGUUUUCUAGUGAUCUAGAAGGCUAUCAGAUAGAAGAGGGAGGCAGAGAUAUAGACCUUUUUGCAUUUCUGACAAUCAACCGAUGGCUCCACCUGGACCUGCCAACCCCGCCAAGCAGUCGUGGACCCAGAAGCAGACUCCCUGGCCUGCCAAACUAUCCUUACAAAACCCUAGCCUCCAACUUUUCAGGAAGAUUGAUUUGAGUAAUAACUCCAUUUACCACGUGGCACGGCUGGCCUCAAUGAUUAAACUCUAUUGC
rnacentral:lncRNA from 1 species